GAAUUCGCCCUUAGAGUUUGAUCCUGGCUCAGGACGAACGCUGGCGGCGUGCCUAACACAUGCAAGUCGAGCGGAGAUAAGUGAGGAGCUUGCUCUGAGCUUAUUUUAGCGGCGGACGGGUGAGUAACGCGUGAACAAUCUGUCUCACACAGGGGGAUACCAGAUGGAAACAUCUGCUAAUACCGCAUAAGACCACGACGUCGCAUGACGAUGGGGUCAAAGGAGCGAUCCGGUGUGAGGUGAGUUCGCGUCUGAUUAGCUGGUUGGUGAGGUAACGGCCCACCAAGGCGACGAUCAGUAGCCGACCUGAGAGGGUGAUCGGCCACAUUGGAACUGAGACACGGUCCAAACUCCUACGGGAGGCAGCAGUGGGGAAUAUUGGGCAAUGGGCGAAAGCCUGACCCAGCAACGCCGCGUGAGGGAAGAAGGUUUUCGGAUUGUAAACCUCUGUCCUUGGUGACAAAGGACGUGAUGGUACUCCACAAGGAAGCCCCGGCUAACUACGUGCCAGCAGCCGCGGUAAUACGUAGGGGGCGAGCGUUGUCCGGAAUGACUGGGCGUAAAGGGCGUGUAGGCGGUCUGAUAAGUUAGGAGUGAAAGUCCUGCUUUUAAGGUGGGAAUUGCUUUUAAUACUGUCGGACUAGAGUGCGGAAGAGGUAAGUGGAAUUCCCAGUGUAGCGGUGAAAUGCGUAGAGAUUGGGAGGAACACCAGUGGCGAAGGCGACUUACUGGGCCGUAACUGACGCUGAGGCGCGAAAGCGUGGGGAGCGAACAGGAUUAGAUACCCUGGUAGUCCACGCGGUAAACGAUGAAU
rnacentral:rRNA from 1 species